UCCCCGAACCGGUGAAAAUGCCCUCCAACUCACCCAUCGAUUAAGAGGGGCGGGUAUUAAGCACACACUAGUAGCUCAAAAUACCUUGCUUAACCACACCCCCAAGGGAUACAGCAGUGAUAAAUCUUAAGCAAUAAACGAAAGUUUGACUAAGUUAAACUACAUCAGAGUUGGUAAACUUCGUGCCAGCCACCGCGGUCAUACGAAUAACCCAAAUUAACAAACCCCGGCGUAAAGCGUGUUUUAAAGUUAAAUAAUACCCAAGCUGUAGAAAGCUAUAGCUAUAAGUAAACCCCUCAACGAAAGUGACUUUAUCACCCUUGAAUACACGAAAGCUAGGGUCCAAACUGGGAUUAGAUACCCCACUAUGCCUAGCCACAAACUUAAAUAGUUAAACUAACAAAACUAUUCGCCAGAGAACUACUAGCAACAGCUUUAAAACUCAAAGGACUUGGCGGUGCUUUAUACCCCCUAGAGGAGCCUGUUCUAUAAUCGAUAAACCCCGCUCCACCUCACCACCCUUUGCCAACUCAGCCUGUAUACCGCCAUCUUCAGCAAACCCUAAGAAGGUAUCAUAGUAAGCCUAAUAACCCUCGUAAAAACGUUAGGUCAAGGUGUAGCCCAUAGGGUGGGAAGCAAUGGGCUACAUUUUCUUAUUUAAGAAUACAUACGAAAGCCCAUGUGAAAACCAUAGGCCAAAGGCGGAUUU
rnacentral:rRNA from 1 species